UAAGGAAUAUUGGUCAAUGGACGCAAGUCUGAACCAGCCAUGCCGCGUGAAGGAUGAAGGUCCUCUGGAUUGUAAACUUCUUUUAUCUGGGACGAAAACGGGAUUUUUAUCUCAAUUGACGGUACCAGAGGAAUAAGCACCGGCUAACUCCGUGCCAGCAGCCGCGGUAAUACGGAGGGUGCGAGCGUUAUCCGGAUUUACUGGGUUCAAAGGGUGCGUAGGUGGGCUUAUAAGUCAGUGGUGAAAUCUCCGAGCUUAACUUGGAAGCUGCCGUUGAUACUAUAGGUCUUGAAUUAUCUGGAGGUAAGCGGAAUAUGUCAUGUAGCGGUGAAAUGCUUAGAUAUGACAUAGAACACCAAUUGCGAAGGCAGCUUACUACAUAUAAAUUGACGCUGAGGCACGAAAGCGUGGGGAUCAAACA
rnacentral:rRNA from 1 species